AAGAGCGGAGAGGAACGCUUGAAAGAAAUGGAGGCGGAGAUGGCCCUGUUUGAGCAAGAAGUAUUGGGAGCUCUGGUGACCGGAAUCCCAACUGCUGUGCCUGCGGUGCCCACGGUAGAAGCGAUGCAGGGGCCCCCAGCUCCUGUGAUCCGCCCAAUUAUCGCCACCAACACAUACCAACAGGUCCAACAGACUCUGGAGGCCCGGGCAGCUGCUGCGGCCACAGUAGUCCCUCCUAUGGUGGGAGGCCCUCCUUUUGUGGGCCCAGUUGGCUUUGGCCCUGCCGAUCGUGGUCACCUGGAUAGUCCCGAGACUCGAGAGGCCAUGUUCCUGAGGCGAGCAGCUGUGGCCCCUCAGAGGGCCCCUAUCCUGCGUCCUGCCUUCAUCCCCCACGUGCUCUCUAGACGAGCUCCGACAGGCAAGGCAGCUGCAUCAGGGAAAGGGGAGCCCAGGAAGGCCUUCUCCAGCUCAAUAAGACCCGCCAACAUAGGCCGUGUUCACACCAAGACUGCAAAGAAGGCAGUCCGGGUCAUCAUCAAGAAGUACUACACAUCCCUGAGGAGCGACUGCCACACCAACAAGAGCGUGCGAGGAGAACACCAUUAUCCCCAGCAAGAGACUUCAAAACAAGAUAGCCUGCUAUGUCACACCUCGGAUGAAGCGGAUGCAGAGAGGUUCUGUGAGAGCUAUCUCUAUCAGGUUGCCAGAAGAGGAAAGAGAAAGGGGAGAGAGUUGUGUUCCUGAGGUCUCAGCCCGAGAUCAGGAGAUCACUGAGGUAGAUCCUGACACCAAGGAAAUGCUGAAGCAUCGAGACUUUGGCCAUCUCUCUAACCUUCAGAUUACCCUACAGCCUACAGUUGGGUUGAAUUUCAAAACACCACGUGGAGCUGUUUAA